AAGGCUCAGUUGGUAGAGCAGGAGACUCUGACUCUCAGGGCCUGUGGGUUUGAGUCCCAUGUUCGGUG